CAUUUUUGUUUGGUUCAAAUUAUUAUUAAUAUUAGAUCUUUGAUCAGCAAGGAGUACAUUAUUUGAUAGCGCCCGCCAUACAUAGUUCCAAUUUAGGGUGAACUAUUGACAUAAGUUCAUAAAUAAAAUUUCUUUACAAUGAACACCAAACCUUGAACAAUUUAACUAUUUUUAGCUUCGCAAAUUGCAAGUAACUUUUACAUCUUCUCAAAAUAUUGAAAUUUAAACAUCACAUAAAAUUGGAUUUUCACCAAAUGUUUAUCGGAGCUUUAUUUUAAGCUGGACCACAUCUUAUAGUCAAUAACUUUUGUUUCGGAAAUUUGCAAAGUAUUUAAGACAAACUUAUUUUGUUGUCCUCCAAAUAUGGUCAAAACAUCAUGAUUACAUACAAAGCAAAAAGAAUUACUGACUAUGCUGUAGUUUGAAACCCAGAAGCCGCCGCUGCCAUCUACCUACUGUAAUCUAAUAUGCCACAUGUGUCCUGAUCCCUGUGUCAAGCUACACCGACCGACCAUCUUCAAGUGCUGACUGAAGAAGGUGUUCCUCCUAGAUAGAAGGCAGCAAGCGUCCAGGAGUUGGAGCAGCCAUCGAUGCCCAAGAGAGCAGCGUGUCCAAUGAUGAGGCCUCUGUGUCGAGCAGAGGUGGUUUGAUAAGCAGACGUUUCUCCUUUCCAUCUAAUUUCUAUUAACAAUUCCUUGAUUUUAUAAUGAUAACCUUCUAUUUAGAUUAGCAUCCAGAUAGCAACUCAGACAUUAUAAUCAACCCAUUGAUAAACAUUCAGUCUGACAUUCUUGCUAUAUCUUGUUGUGUAAGUAAUUCAGCAAAAUUCUUUUCCAUUGAGCUUUUCUGAAAACCAUCUAAGGCUUAGGAACCUGGAACUUUUGAAUUGCAAUGUGCGAUAGCUUAAAUCAUCAUGGUUUUUAAGGACAUUGACUGUUGUGUGGUUGCACUUGGUUUUCCUCUGAAUUCUGAAAGUAAAAGUCAAGUACACAAAUACAGAGGAUGUUGCAAGCUAAUUCUAGUUCUAUAUGCCUGUGAUUAGAAUGUUAGUUCUGAGCAUUCUCAAUUUAGGAUUUCCAUUCAAUAUAUGGUUAUCAUGAUAUGAUUUUGCAGCAUUACUAUUAUGUAGUCUCUACUCUAAUUUUUACUCAAUGUAUCUGCAGGAGUUUAACAGAGAAAUAAGGUUUACAUCAAGACUUUGAUCCAAAGAAAUCAUCUGCAAGAUUGAGGAAGCUGCAAAAGUGUCAAGUUCUUAAUUAGUUAAUGGUUAUUGCAGAUAGUCUCAGUUCAUAUCAUAUUUUAACUAUCUAUGUAUUUGAAUAGAGAGACAUGUGAUAUAUUUUAUCCAGUACAAUUUUCAUAAAGUACAGGCAAAUGUUGUCAUAUAUUUUUGUUGGUUAAAUUUAAGUUUUGCGGUCUUCAGGUUUUGGUUUCAGAAAGAAUCUAACGUUCUCAUUUGGACAGCAUGCUUAGUUUGAAUGUGACAGGUUUUUUUAUUUUUUGAGCUAUUUGUUAUAUCCUUGAAUUGCUACCCCUUGUUUAGCAUUUUUUUAUGUUACUCACUUUCCUAUUCACUUGCAUUUUAUGUUUU
rnacentral:lncRNA from 1 species